GAUGAACGCUGGCGGCGUGCCUAACACAUGCAAGUCGAGCGUGAUUUAUGAGGACGAAACUUCGGUCUAGGAAUCAUAAUGAAAGCGGCGGACGGGCGAGUAACGCGUAGGCAACCUGCCCUUAACACAGGGAUAGCCUCGGGAAGCCGGGAUUAAAACCUGAUGAUGCCAAAGAGUCACAUGGCUCGUUGGCCAAAGAUUCAUCGGUUAAGGAUGGGCCUGCGUCUGAUUAGUUUGUUGGUGGGGUAACGGCCUACCGAGACUACGAUCAGUAGCCGACCGGGGAAGGUGAUCGGCCACAUUGGAACUGGGACAGGGUCCAAACGCCUACGGGAGGCAGCAGUGGGGAAUGUUGCACAAUGGGCGAAGGCCUGAUGCAGCAACGCCGCGUGAGCGAUGAAGGCCUUUGGGUCGUAAAGCUCUGUCCUUGGGGAAGAAACAAAUGACGGUACCCAAGGAGGAAGCCCCGGCUAACUACGUGCCAGCAGCCGCAGUAAGAC
rnacentral:rRNA from 1 species